GCACUUGUGGUUCAGUGGGAGAAUGUGUCGUUGCCAUCGAUAUGACCCGGGUUCGAUUCCCGGCAAGUGCA